GAUGAACGCUGGCGGCGUGCCUAAUACAUGCAAGUCGAGCGAACAGACGAGGAGCUUGCUCCUCUGACGUUAGCGGCGGACGGGUGAGUAACACGUGGAUAACCUACCUAUAAGACUGGGAUAACUUCGGGAAACCGGAGCUAAUACCGGAUAAUAUAUUGAACCGCAUGGUUCAAUAGUGAAAGACGGUUUUGCUGUCACUUAUAGAUGGAUCCGCGCCGCAUUAGCUAGUUGGUAAGGUAACGGCUUACCAAGGCAACGAUGCGUAGCCGACCUGAGAGGGUGAUCGGCCAAACUGGAACUGAGACACGGUCCAGACUCCUAAGGGAGGCAGCAGUAGGGAAUCUUCAGCAAUGGGCGAAAGCCUGACGGAGCAACGCCGCGUGAGUGAUGAAGGUCUUCGGAUCGUAAAACUCUGUUAUUAGGGAAGAACAAAUGUGUAAGUAACUAUGCACGUCUUGACGGUACCUAAUCAGAAAGCCACGGCUAACUACGUG
rnacentral:rRNA from 1 species